AACCGAAGAAAAGGGACAUGCUCUCCAAUGAAAUAAAAGAACAGUUCUCGGUAAUAGGAGUUCAAGUAGAGAAAAACAAUGAUGCCUAAGAAUGCCACUCCGUAUGAUCCUCCAAAACUCCAUAAGAAUAUGGUUUCCCAAGAGCUAUUUUCUUUGUUGUCUGAAACUGGUGGUUUGACUGCAGGUGGGGCACUAGUGGGAGUGCAACUUCGCUCUAAUGGCAGUCCACAUAGAAGAGGGUUGCCCUCGUAACUGCUUUGUUCAAAUGUUGCAAAUUGAAACUUCCUCUCUGGAGUCUUACCUGAUAAAUUGUUGUGAGCAACAGUGAAGACCGUCAAGAAGUUUAACUCUACUACCAUCUGUGGUGGAAUUUGACAUGUCAAUCUAUUGUGGGAUAGGUCCAAGCUUUCUAUUUCCUUUAGGUUGGAAAAUGUUUAUGGAAUAGAUCCUGUCAAUUGGUUGUACGAUAAGUUUAGAGUAUGAAUCCCACUUAGGUUUCCAAUUUUUGGAGGAAUUGGACCUGUCAAUUCGUUCCCUGAAAGAUCUAAUCCAGACAUGAAGUACAAGAUGUUUCCCAUAUAAGAUUCGGACCUACUCUUUGUUAUGAACUCUAUUUCUUCACUUUCAGCGGAUGUCUUAAAAUUGAUCUCCAUAUACGCGUACUCAGAAAUUUGACUUUCAUAUGAGUAUGUUUCUAUGGGACCAUCCCAUCCCGACCUAAAGCCAUCCAUAAAAAAUGUAUCAUCUAUUAAUGCAACUUAUCUUCCAAAAGUUAUAUUAUCUAGGCAAGGAGGUAUGGAUCCGGAAAGACGAUUAUGAGAAAGAUCCAGUAUGCUGAUUGAUUUGAGCUGACACAAAUGAAGAGGAAUUGAGUCUUCAAGUUGAUUUCCUUUCAAGAGAAGAACCCUCAAUUUUGAAAGUAAACUAAUCCAAAGGGGAAUUAGGCUUGAUAGUUUGUUAUCCCUCAAAUUCAAUGACACAAGAGAGGUAGCUUCAACCAGAACAUGGGGUAUAGGUCCUAUUAGUUCAUUGCUUUCCAAAUGUAAAAACUUCAUGUUUGUUAGAUUGGCACAAAGAGGAAGGGUCGGGCCAAUUUUGUUGUGAGAAAGGUCUAAAAAACGUAGUUCAUUGAGUUUGCAAAAGCCUGUUGGCACAACACCAUCCAAAUAAUUUCUAGACAAGAUAAGUGUCUCCAAGGCUAAGAAGUCUCCAAUCCAAUCUGGAAUUUGACCCAUCAACGAGUUGGAGCUGACAUCCAACAAUAGUAGGAAAGAGCUAUUCAAAAAUCCACGAGAAAUCUCUCCCCAUAAGUCAUUGUUAUCCAAAGACAAAGAGGAUAACCGUGUCAAGUUAGAUUUUGUGGGAAGAGUGUCAUGUAAACUGUUGUUGGAUAACUUUAAAACCUCCAAUGAGAUGCAACCCAUCAUCAUGUGCUCAGGUAGUUGUCCCGAGAGAUUAUUGUUUGACAAAUCUAAGGAUCGCAAUUGUUCCAUGUCACUCAUCGAGGAAGGAAUAUUACCUUGUAAUGCAUUUCCAGACAAGUUUAAGACCUCCAACCUUGGAAAAAUAGAGCCUAUGAAAGGUGGAAGCUCUCCGUGAAUGCAAUUCGAGGAGAAAUCAAGCAAAAGCAUGUGGGAAUGUUUUGAACUUGAGCCCAAAUCAAGAACACCUGUCAAGCUGUUACUUUCAAAGCUUAGGUAUUCUAGUUUCGUAUUAUUGUCUAAUAACCAGGUUGGGACAUCUCCUGUCAUAUGGUUGUAGCUAAGGUCGACCACUCUCAAAUCAUGUUGACUCAAAAGAAAGCUGGGUACAACCCGGCUUGGCCAAUUGAGAGUGAAGUUGGAUAACCGGAGGAUUUUCAAUUGAAAUAGAGGAACUGACCAUGUUGGAUUUUCAAUCUCAACCUUCAAAUACUUGUUAUUGCUAGAAAGUUCGAAAACCUCGAGUCUGGAGUGGUUGAAGAGUGAACCAAAAUAGAUUGAGCCCUCGAAAUGAUUAUAAGAAAGAGAAAUGUACUCGAGUGACUUCAUAUUGGAGAAGAGAGAUGAAGGAAUAGUUCCAUGGAAAUCAUUUCUGGAUAGGUCAAGCAAACGUAGGGAUGUCAAAUUGUUGAGACACAUAGGAAGACUACCCUCAAAUCCAUUAUAACUAAGAUCCAACUCUUCAAGGUUGAGUUUGCACAAGCCUGCGAAAGUGAAACAUGUAAUUUAUAAUUACAAUUAAAAGUAGUGGCAACAACUAAGGGAAAAAUAUAUUUUGGAUUAUCUUGGUUGAUAAAUGUCACCACAAUUCCUAAGGUAACUUGUUGAUAAUUUUAAAUAUUUUUGUACUUAUAUUUUUAUUUUUAUUAAUAAUAAAUAUGUUUACCCUCCCAAUCUUUUUAUUUCUUGUUUUAGAAAAUAAAAUUCCCUAGCAUUUUUAAGAAGCCAAACAUGUACCUGUUAAGAAGAUAAAAUCUUUACUAGGAUUAGAUUUUAUGAAAAUAUUGGAUGAAAGUUCAAGAAAAGAAUUUUGAUGGGAUGAAAAAUGAUUAAAACUCGUGAAAAUAUGAAAAAUUUUGUAAGAAAUUAUAUAAAAAUAAUAAUAUAUGAAUUGGAAUUGUGUUUUAUUAAUAAUAAAUGUAAUCGUUAAUUUUUGUUAUGUAAAUACUAAAGCUAAGUAUAUGGUAAUCCUAGUAAAGAAAAAUCAAAGAUAAGGUCAGAAUAACUUAUAGUAUCGGGAUUGUCAUCCUCUGUGACCAAUACUAAUAUGUUUAGCUAUUAAAUUAGAAAAAUUAAAUAUUGGAUGAAACUAAAUUAAACCCUAAUCUAAAUAAAUAGAAAUAAAAAUUCGAAUGACAUUUUUUUAGAAUAUCUAAUAAAAGCUAAAUAAUGCAAAAGAAAAUAUUCAAGAAGAACACAAGUUUGAUUUCAAAUUCAUCAAAAGAAAGUGGAAUUUUUUAUUUAUUUUGAUGGUUGAAGAGUCAAUCCAAAAUCAAAUGAGAUCUUAAGAUUAGUUUAAAUUUGAAACCCUAAUUUGACGAAAAAGCCUAGAUCACAAAAGUAUUUUAAAUUAACCAUAAUCCUUGUUUCUCAUUUCGACAAUAAAUCCUAGAUUCAUCAAUGAAACUCAUCUCAAUCUCAUGUACCAUUAAUCAAAAUAAGUUGUUCGAUGAUUAAAAGGCAAUAUAGUAUUAUUAGAAUCAAAGUAAGCAUUGAUUGUCCUUAAAUUGAGAGAAACUAGUUAGAGAAAUAAUCAAUCAUAAUUUAAAUACAAAAAGAAAGAUUUUAGGUAUGAAUGUUACCACUCUUCUUUUCUUGAGAUUAAAAAUUUUGAUUUCAUAAAGGUGAAAUCACAAUUUUGAUUUGGGCAACGAUGAAAGUCAACAUCAAGAACUUCAUCUUUGCCAAAAUUGAUUUCUUAAGCAGAAUUCAGAAUUUUAGAUUAUAACAUAAUUGAAUCCAUUUCACUUCUCAAAAGUAGUUUUGUCAAGAUUGUUUUUAUUCACUUCUUUUAUUCUUGCCAGGAUGUCCUAAUUAUUCCCUAAAUUGCUUUCAUGCAUGUUUUCAACUUAACAAACAUUUUUUUUUUUUUUUGCUACUAAGUGGGUAGUAUUUUUUUUUAGGAAUAUUUUAUUAAAAGACUUCAAAUACUAUAAUUUUGAUUGAUUCUAUAUUGAUUAUUCAUGAAUUGCUUCUAAGAUGUUUUUUUUUUCUUUGAUUGAUUAUUGAUUAUCCUUAAGUUGACAUGUUUCCAAGUUGCUCUUUUUGAAAAUCAUACGAUGAUGUUAGUUAUUUGAAAACUUUUUUAUGAUGAUAAUUUGAUUAUUCAUGAGUUGAUUACAAGUUGUUGUUUUUUGAUAAUUCCAUUAUGAUUAAUAUUUAUGAGUUGUUAAGAUUUUUGAGUGUAGAGUAUUUUGAUUUUUUAGUUUAAGUAUUUUGAUAAUUGCAUGAUGAUUAAUAUUUAUGAUUUGUUAAAAAUUGUAAGUUCCUAAAUAUUUUUUAUUUUUUAAAGCGCAUGAUUGUUAGUUUAAGCAUUAUGAUAAUAACAUGUUUUGACAUUCGUUUGUAAAUUAUUGAUAAUUGCAUGAAGUUGAUUAAUUUUAUGUGUUGAUUGAUGCCUAUUAGGAUUAGGGUUAGGUUUGUUGUCUUUGUGUAGUUCUCACUCAAUUUAGGCUUUAUGAUUAUAAAUGAUAGGUAGUAUGGGGCUAUUCCAUUUGGUUUUGCAUUGUUAUUGGAUCUUUUCGUGGUUAUUUGUUAGUAAUGAUCAUAGAUGUUAAAUUUCAAUCCACUUAAUAUCAUACACUUUCAUGGGGUUGUUGAGUUUAGUAUUUUGUAUGCUUUAAUAUCCAUAAAGUCAAAAUUUCAAAAUAUAUAUUUUCUAAGAAACCAAAAGUCAAAUAGGGAACACUCCAAUAGGAAGAGUGGAUAGGUGAUUUAAAAAAAAAAAAAAAAUAUUUAUAUGUUAUACUCAAUUCUUUUACCCUGCGAGAUGUUAGAGAUAAACUUUUCUAUCAAUUAUAGGCAAUUCAAAUCGAAUAUAAAAUAUAUAGAUGAUAAGACAUAAGAUUUUUACGUAGAAAACCCCACACUAAUUGUGGAGAUGAAAAACCACUGGGUUUAAGAUAUAUUAAUCUAAAUCCAUUAUACGAAAUCAAGUUACACAUUUAUUUAUUCGUUUUACCAUAAAGACUUUUACUUUCCAAUACCUACAACUUGAUUCACGUUGGUGAUACAACAACCCUCGAUUGCUCUAGUGGAUCACUUUAGCCUUGUUGAAGGGAUGAAGGACUUCAAACCAAGAUUCAAAGGUCUAAUCAUUGAGUAAGAGAUUGGGAAUUGUAUGAUACUUUAGACUUUCUCUUUAGGAGACCCUCUUUAAGGAAUAUAAAGUCUCUCAAUGAUCCAUCUCUAAUCUCUAACCCUUAAAGGGGUUAAUAGGGAGGUAUUUUUAUGCAAAAACUUGAAGAGUUUCGGUUUUCGAAAAGUUUUAAACCAUAUUUGCAUGAGAAAUCUAGGUGAAAUUUGCAUUAUCACUCGAGCCAACUCACCCACUGCUUGAGUGCCUCAGGCUUGAGCGGUCCUAAGUACUUAAGUGCUCUAGGCCGCUUGAGCGCUCCUGCCAUGUUUCAAAAAUCAAUUUUAAAACCUUUUAAGUUCAAAACAAAAUUGAUCCCCUUAAUACCUCAAUGUAGCUUAAUUUGUCACAAGUCAAACCUUUUUAGAUGUACUUGUGAUUUCUCGGUUGGAUGAAUAACAACUCUUAAUCUUCAUUAAUGGAGAACAAGUCACUAUUUAAAAAGAAUUCUAUGACCAAACAUAAAAAGAAACAAAAUUAUCAAUAUAAAAACAAAACUCAAUGUCCUAAAUUUUUUCAAAGAAAAUUAAUCCAUAAGGUUUUCUUAAAAAAAUCAUCUUAGGUCAUUAGGGUUUAAAAAAGUCUUUUUUAAAAAAAAAAAAAAAAAUACAACCAAUUUCAAUUGGUAUACAUCUUUCCAUUGUUUUUUUAAAUAAAUUUUUAUUUCUGACACAUGAAUCAAAGUUCAUGAUUCCAAAUAAAAAUGAAUGAUUGUUGGCCUUGAUAAACUCAUUAAUGAUCAUACAAGGAUAGGGAUAUGCGAAUUAAACUUGUGUAUAGUAAAUGGGGACUUGGUGAGGCCCCACCCACAUACAUUCAUUUUUUAAAAAAUGUUAAUGCUAUUGUUUGAUGUAUUUCUAACCACUAAAUUAAAAAAUUAGAAGUGAAUGGCUUAGGGUUUUUCUAAAUUUUUUCUAUGCUUAGAGCAUAUUCUUAAAUUUGUCAAUUAAAUUUUUCUUGGGCUUAAAAAUCAUUUUCAAUUGGAAGAAUUAAGUUGGUAUAGGUCUUGUUUUGGCCCUAUUCCGCUUGAGAUGGUUUUGAAAAAAUAAAUUAAUUUUAAUUUUAUUCAAUAUUUUUUACUUAAUCUAGACUUCUUGAAAUUAACUUUAGAUCGCUAUUUUGUUGAAAAUUUAUUUCCUAGGUGGGAGAAAAAAUUCUUCUUUCUGCACCUACUACAUUGGCCCUAUUCUUAGUCAAGGGCUAUUUGUCUUGAUGCAAAAAUUCUUCUCGUGUGAUUUAAUCAUGUUGUUAUUUUUCCUAUGAAGUAGAUGUAUUGAAUAAAUUGCAUGAAUUUUGGUGUGAUUUUAUCAUACAUUUAAAUAAUUUAAUUAAAUUAGUCUUUACAUGCUAUUGAUAUCUACUCUAUUUAUAAUUGAUAUGCUUGUGAUUUAAUGUGGUAUUAAUUGAGACAUAGUUUAGUUAUCUAACAUUUUGGAUUGUAAUCUAGACACAUAAGGGAUGUUAAUCAUUUUGUUUCAUGAUAAAAUUCUAUAUUUAAGUUUUUUUUUUUGGAUUUAUUUUGUAUGUUCACCUAUUAUGCCAUGUUGCUAAAUGUUCUAAAAAGUGAUGAUGAAUUUGUUUUAAUAUGGUAUAAUUGGUGGUGAAUUAAAUUGAUUUGACACUUGGGUUGUAUUGUAGAUACAUUGAGGAUGAUGUAUAAUUUUUAUUUUGAUAGAAUACCACUUAGGUUUUUAUUUCUUAUUUUAUUUUCUAUUUAAAAAUAAAUAAAAAUAAGUGACGACUCAAAUUUUUUUGAAAAAAUCAGUUUUUUCACAAAAGAAAAAAGAAAAAAAGAGUUUCAUUGAGUGGGGACGCAUGUGAAAAAUGCGGGUCCAUAGAGAUACUGUCUCAAUAUCAUAAGAUAUCAUAACGUCUCUAUUUGAGAAUACCUAUUUGCCAUGAACCUUUAUUAUAAUUGACCCAAUUCGUAAAGAAAUAUUAUUACAUUAAGGUCUCACUCAUAGGUCGAAGUCUGUUGACUUCAAUAUAGGCUCAAUAUCUUCAGUAUAGAUUCACUGUAGGUCUUGUAUAAUGUAUAACCAUACACAUUAAUACACUCACUAUGGGAACUCUAUCUCAACGACCAAGACAAGUCAUCUUUUCAAUUAGAAGGUAAUACACUAUAGUCUUUGUUGAGUUGCCCAAAUGCAUGAAUUGAAUAUAAACUUUUCAUCAUCUUGCAAGGAAUUUAUGACUUGAAUAUUUUGUGCAACUCUUAGUCAAGUACAAUGCAAGUGAUAUGAACAUAAGUACUCAGAUAACCAAUUGAUGCAUAAGGGAUAAUAAAGGUAACUAGAAACAUAAAUAAAUUAAUUAAUUUAUUAAUAAAUCUAAAUUUUGUUAUAGCAUGUCAUGCUUUCUUAGACUUUAUAUCAACAAUUAAGACAUCCAAAUCUCAAAUUUCUUCAAGAAUUAGAAAAAAAUAAAAUAAAAUUUAGUGUGUCUAGUGAGCGAAGUAAAUAUGGCACCUAUGGUAAUUAUCAACUUUGAAAAUGUGUAAACUUCCUUUUAACAAGUCUCAUUCAACUAAUAAAUUUCCUCUUGAAAAAAUUACAAUGAUUUAUGGCAGUUUGCCUUAACUUUAUCAUCUAAAAAUUUCCAAUAUUUUGUGGUCUUUAUUGUUGAUUAUAAUUGCUACACGUGGCUAUAUCCUUUAUGAUCCAAAUUUUAUUUAUUUUUAGUUUCUUUCUCAAAUUUCAUUUUGAUAGGAAAAUAAAGACAUUUCAAAGUGAUGGUGAUGGUGAAGGUGAAUUCAUCUCUAUUGCUUUAAUUCACUUUUCAUUUGGCUUAGUGUGGCAUUGCACAACAACUUUCAUUCCUUAUACACAUGAACCAAAUGACCUAGUCGAAAUAAAACAUAGGCAUAUUGUGGAAACGAAGGCUCAUAAUGCUUCUUCAUGCUAACUUACCCAUGAAAUCUUGGGUUGAUGCAUUUCUGACAACAACCUACCUUAUAAUCAGGUUACCAUCUUUUUCCCUUGAUAUGAAUACUUUGUAUUUCAAACUCUAGUUUAUACACCUUUGGAUGUCAGUGAUUUCCAUCCUUAAAACAUCAAGGUAUCAAUAAAAUUUCUCAGAGAAUAAAGUUAUUGUUGGGUUGAUGAAAUGAAAAUUACAUAUAUGGCUACGAAUAAAGUAAAUAAUGCAAACUAUUUCUGAAAAUCUAACAAGAUCUUGUUAAUGCAUAAUCAAAUUUUAAUUCUUCCACCAGGUCACUUCACACUACAAGUAUAACACGAAUCAAGAAGUCGAAGCCUAAAGCACAAGGCGAUGAGGACCGGUCAAGACCGCAGCCUAACAUUAAGGCGCCUUAGCCACACCGAAUGAAGAAUCAUAUGAAGCAUAUCGUAGGGCUGCGCCGGCCGGUUUAUCACGAAAUGCCUCUGCACUUGCUUCACCCUCUUUUGCAUCCUCAAAUACCUCUCAUUCGGAACCGCUUUCAAUAUCUUCUUAAUUUCCGGUAUCUUGUCCGAAGUGAUAUUUAUGGAAAACUUGCUCCAAUCAAGAACUUCACUAAACGGCAGCACAUAGUAAUCGCAGAUGAUUACAGGCACACACCCAGCAGCGAUUGCUUCCACUACUCUGGGGCUGGCAACUUCCCAUCCACUUGGACACAGGCAAAACUUGCUGUCAACCAUUGAUUUAGCGUAGUCUCGAUUGCUGGGAAGGUGCUCGUACACCUGGACUUCGUCAUCAUUUUCUUUCCAGGACCUGAACAGGAGGGUUCGCAUGUAGCCGGAUUCACGGCCGGAGAAGAAGGCGAGGAUGUGACGCUGGUUAGGGGGUUUGUCGAGGUGAGGUGGGCCGAGCUUGCCUUUGGGUAUGUUGACUUCUGGCAAAGAGAUGUCUCUGAUGGGCUGGAACCUUUCGGAGGUGUUGGCAUUGCAAAGGACUCUGAUGAAAUGCUUGUAGAGGUCAGGGGUUACAAUCGAAAUCUCUGGUGCCUGAGAUUUCAAGAUAUAUGAUUGAUUAGUAAAACAACAUUGAUUAUAGAAACAAGUAAUGACUGGAUUUUGAGUUUCAGAGGGAGGGGGCCGUCAAAUCGUAAAUGUUUCUCACUACUUUUAUUAAAUUUUACAGACAUGGCAGCUAAUGUUUGAGAGUUGGGAAUUUUUAGGUUUAGGAAAACUUUAAGAUUUGCAGGAGAAUUCAUUUCUAAAUAGAUUAAGUAGUUUACAUUUUUACCAUAAUUUCUUCAGACAAUUCUACGGAACUACCCUAAUAUAUACAUUGGAGGUCUCUUCCAUCCAAUCCCCUUUUUCCAACUUUCAUCUAGACCUCAUCUUUUCUUCUCUAGAAUCUCUCCAAGCCAGAUUCCUCUUCUCUCAUAUCUCUUCUACUGUCCCGUUUUCUCUCAAGUAUCUCCCAUUUUCCCCCACACCUGUCCAUUUUCCUCAAAUCUUGAAAUCUCACAUCUUGAAAUUUUAAAAUUAAUUUGAUAUUUUUUCUAAUGUUUUCUAAUACAAAAUCGAAGUUCCAACAUAUAUUAGCAAAAGAAAAUGCAAGUACGUACGUACCCAAUCAUGGCAAGAGACUAGGAAAUGGUCAGCUCCAUUACUUCUAUUCCAAUAUGGAUAUUUAUUUGAAACAACGUAGAUGUAGUCUGUGACCAAUCGUUGAAGCAUGUGACCAGAGUAGUCAACAGGAGGAGAGUAGAUAUAGUGAGCAAUGCGAGUUACACUUAUUGGGAUGUAAAAGACAUGAGCCACAUCAGGAUGACCCGCCAUGAAGUGGCUGUCUCCACUUUCCAUCUCAUCCAUAAAUUGCCCUUCAAUGCCAUAGAUGCUAUUUUUUGGCCCACCAUGCACUAGGGGUUGGUCUCCCUCCUUGUAGGUCCAUAUCUUGAAUCUCUUCUCCAUUUCUAUGUGACUCCUAUUAUGCAAUCAAAGGAAUUACUUGCAUGAAAGUUAAUUUUGAUUGAAAAACUAAAUGAAAAAAAAAAAAAGAAGUUGAGUAAAAAAUACACAAUUCAUACAUUGAUAAAUAUAUAUAUAUAUAUAUAAAAGAUAUUUAGGUUAAGUAGAUUAUAUGUAUAUAAUAUAAGAAUGUAAUUAACAACAAUAUCUUAGUGCUGAGUGGAGCUCAAUCUGAACGUGAGAGUUCGACACCUAUACAAGCCACCAACGUGGCUGGGCUGCAUCCUUAACUAAAUUUGGGCACGUGGCUCAUGAUAUCAAACUUUUAUAAAAGCCAAAAACACGAGGAAAAAAAAAAAAGGCCUAACAUUUCGGUGAGGUUUUGAUAAACUUAUGGUUGGGAGAUCAAUGAAAUCGACUUCACAUCUUCUACAAAUGAAUAAAAUGUCACUAAUCAUUCGCCUUUCCGGAAACUUUGAGACAAUUUUUAAAAAUGAAAUAUGGAUUUUCACUAGUAAAAUAGUGUAGUGUGAGCUUAACUGAUGAAAUGCGUAUGGAUUUCUGUAAACAGCUCCUCUAGGGAUGAAAUUUUCUUUCUUUUGUGAAGUAUAAUUGCUUGAACGAACUGCUUCACGUAUUGCCGCUCGUGCACUUGCCAGACCACGUUCAAUUCUCUCCAAAGGACUCAUCUUUUCCUACAAGACACACAAAAAAAGAACAAUAAAAUCAAUCUAAGAAGAACAGCAGCAGUACUGGGUGCAAUUAAAGUUAUGGUAAGUCCACCCACCACAGUGGUAGUGGAAGUUGAGGGAACCCCAUGCGUGGAAACAUUUCCCAGAAACGAAGACGCUUCUGGGGUCUGGUGUUUGGUCUGUGAAUGAUUGGGAGUUGAAGAAGAAGAUGGAUGGAAGCGGAGAUCAGGGUUUUGAUUUAUGGGUGACAGAAAAAAGAUGGAAAGAAGAAGAAGAAAGAGAAGAACAGGAAAUACUAUAUAUGGUGUUGAACUCAAUGUUGCCAUAUAUAUUUCAAUUUUCUCUCUGUUCUGUCACUCCUCUUUGAAGGGUUGAAGGAGGUGGAGACACGUUCAGACAUGGAGUAAAACAAAAUUUAUGAAUGGUUUUUCCUUUGUUCGGUCCGUUACGCAUCCAGUGACGUACUCAUUUGGGCGGUCCAAUCUAAUGUCUGGAAUCAUUCCACCUUAUGUGAGUAUAACAUUAAGAAGCGUCACGGUCCCUUUUUUAGUUCUAUGACUCACCCAUAUACCACUCACUUGAUUAUGAAGAAGAAAUUAAAGAGUGUUCACCGUUUAGCAAGGCCAUUGCAAAAAUUAGGAUUUGUUUUGAUACAUUUUGGAAAAUUGUUUUCAAAAAAUAGUUUUGAAAUCGAUUUUUAAAAUAUUUCAUAUUUUUUUAAAAACACUUUAUUUUUUAAACUAGUUUUCAAAAAAUUGUUUUCUAUUUAAAAAAUUUGUGAAAAACAUAGAAUCUCUUCUUAUUAUAAUUAAAAUAAGAUUUUCCAUUAUCAUUGACUUCUGUAGAGCCUCCUUGACAAUUGUAUUGUGUAACUAAUUUGUAAUGAAAUCUUCCAUCUCAUAAUAAGUAAUAAUCACUAAACAUUACAAAUCCUAAAAAAUCCAAAGCAAUCCCAAAGUCUUAAAAUUAUAUUCUAAUUGUAAAUAUGUCUAAAAAUACAUGCAUUUACACACUAAAUAUACACUGAAAUGCUUGACAUUAAUUAGAGGGUACUUUUGUUGCAAGGCACUACUCGAAGGAUAUGUAAGUUUAAAUGAUAACUUUGGUAGUACAAGAUUGUUGUAAUUAAGUUACUUUCAAUCAUCGUUAAUUGGCCACUUUAUUCAAACAACAACAACAAUAGGUAUAUGAAACAAAUUCUAAUAAUUAGUGUGAAUUGAGUGUAUACCAGUUAGUGUUAGCAAUUAGAGAAAAGUGCUCUUUGUAGCCUGCAUCAAUAUUUUUGAGACCAAUACUUAAGAUUGAUUUGAUGUACUUAUAGAAUUUAUUAAUGUAAAAGAAAUACUCAAAUAGGGAAAUGAAGAGAGUUAGGAGAUAAUGUUGGAAUGGAAGAGAAUGAGAGAGGGAAAGUAUAUAAAAAAAAAAUUGUGAGAGGAAAUUAAUAUAAAAUUUUAAAUAAAAAACCUUGAUUAUUCUAAAGUUAAUACUUUUGAAAAGUUACUUUUUUUUUAAUGUGUUUUUUAAACUAUUAUCAAAGUUAUUUAUAUUCUUUUGAAAAUCACUUCUGACUACUCUCAAAUAUGUAUGUCAAAGUACGAUUUUGUAAGUAUAAGGAGUCGUUUGUAAUUUUAAAAUUAUGAUAAGUCAUGGUUAAACUACAAAGAUGUGAUCUUAGUUGUAUAAAGGAAAUGAAGAGGUUUAGAAGUUAAAUAAAAACUUUUUAGGCAAACCCUUUCACUCGAUAAAUGCUUGAAAAAAGAGGUUGAUGAUUUUUAUUUUUAUUUUUUCCGAAAACUAGAAGGGAGUACUAGGUGAACUUAAAUUGAAAUUUGAUUUAAUAAGAUAUGCAAAAAGUGUUGGAAUAAGGAGAGUCCCUUAGGCUCUCUUGUUUUUAUAAAAAGACCCUUAAUUAAGUUAACACCACCAAGAUUAUCUAUAAGUGUUUUCAACCAAAGAAUUUUCAAUACAAACACAUUUUGAUUAAACCUAAUGCUUCAAACUUAUGAGUUAACCAUGUGAAAUCUUUAAAAUCUUCUAGCAACCUAUUUGUUUGUCCUAUUGCAGCAUUAAAAGCUCAAUAAUAAACGUCUCAAGUCAAAAUGGCUUUCACCAUCAAGUGUUCGAGAUACCCUCAAAAGAGCUUGUAAACUUCAAUUUCCAAGCAUUUAGGCAUGAUAUAUAAAUCACUUGUGAUAUCCUUAAAACCUUUAUUACUUAUUAACUUGCUAAACUCAUAACAUUAAGGAUUCAAUAGUGACCAUCUCUAGUUAAAUAAUUCUCAAUUAUUAAGCACUUGAGAUACCCUCAAGGGGGCCUUUAAGCUCUAAUUUCUAAGUAUCAAAUAAUGGUUUUCUAAUUAAAAACAAAUGAUCCAACUCAUAAAAUGAAUAUAUCAUUAAAUGUCCAAGAUUUAGAGUCAUUUCAUGGGCACAAGGGAGGUCCUAAGGACUCCCAUCUCCUAAGCUUAAAUCACUACUCACAAAAUAUAAAAAUAGAAUGAAAAAUGAAGAACAUAAGUCAAGUAUAAGGAAAUCAUCAUUAAAAACUUGAGCUUCAACUUCAAUAUUGUACCAAACCAAAGCUUAAAAGUAAGUACAUCUAAAUAUACUCAAAGGAAAGAAGUUUGAGAGAUUACAAGCAACUAAAAGGCGCAAAACAAUAUAAAAAAUUGAAAUUUUAAUAGCAUGUCCCAAAGUUGGAGGUUGAUGAAGAAGUGCUCCCCACUAAAGGGCUUCCUCUAAAAUCCUCCUUCUCCAAUUGCAAAAUCUAUUUAGAGAUGAUCCCAUGUUGCCCUAAGUGGUAUACCACAUAGAGUCAUAAAAAAUAAAGUGUGAGAUCCAAUGGUGGCUUCAGAUAAGCCCAAAAAUGUAGGUCUCCCAUGUUCUUCGAGUUCUAGAACAAAAUGAUGACAGUUACAGAGAAAAUGGCACUAGGUUGUAAGGUGGACAUCUUCUACUCAAAUUGGCAGCGCCAUUAUGAAAAAAGACACCAAACUACAAGGUGGUUCCAUUUUUCUUCGAAUGCUCCUUAGCUCCUUCAACGUUUUUCUUAUUUUUCAUCAAUCUUUUAUAAUUUUUUUUUGUAUAUAUAGAUAGAAGACGUUGAAAUAUUCUUAAAAUUGGUAAGAUUGAUCUUCAAAGAGUAGAAAUUAGAAAAAAUUACUUGAAUUCAUUUGGGCAUUUUUAACCUCCUCAACUGUCCUCAAACUUUUGAUUGGUUGAAGGAGGAUGACACCAUUGAAUUUCAUGCAACUUUGAUCCUUUGACUCCACUCAUACUCCAGUAAUGCUCUUGCAUUCCAAAUAUUCCAAGAAGUUUCCAACAUCAUCAUUAUUCAUGAAAAUAUAUGUAAACAUAUCAAGAAGUAAUGAAAAAUAUGAUAAAACUAAGCAUAUGCAAGGUUUCUAUCAUAUUCAAAUAUAAAAAAAUUAUUCUCCUUUCCAUUUUUUUCUUGCUUAACUUUCUUCGUCUCUCCUUUACUUUUGGCCAACAAAAAUUGACAAAAAUAAAAAUUGAUAAUAGAAUCAUUAUCGGUUAAUUUAUAUAUAUAUAUAUAUAUAUGUAUAUAUAUACAUUCAUAAACUCAUGCUAAUAGUUAAUUUCAAGAAAUAGAAUUGUUCAUAGAAAACAAUAACUUGGGUGACAUUUGGAUACAAUUCCUUUUCCUUUUUUUUUUUUUUUUGUAACUUUUAGAAAUAGAAAAUACUCCUAUUAAAAGUAUAGGAACUUAUGUACAAAAAGUAAAAAAAAUUAUCUUAUAUUCUUAACAACUAUUUAACAGAAGUAAAAAUAUUUUACUUAAUUUCUUCAAUUUAAAAAAAUUUAUGAAGUGUUUUCAACAAUCCUUGUUUUUGUAUAAGGAUUCCUAUAGACUUUAAUAUGAUACUUUCUAUUCUUAAAUAAAAAAAUAAAAUAAUGUAUCCAAACAUCACCUUAUCAAACAAAAAAUAUGGAGCUAUCUUAGGAGGUAAUUGUGAGGAAAACUAUUAUCUAAAAUAUAUAUAUAUAUAUAUACAUUAUGACUACUGGGCUCCACUCAAGCACACCAGUUCCACACUCAAUACACUCAGAAUUUGGAAGAGAGCUACAAUAAAUUGCAAUGAAGAACAUUUCAAAACUAAUGAUAACUCCUCAGAACAAUUAUUCUCAAAUUAUAAAUUCAAAAUUUCACAAUUCAAUUAAGCCACUCCAGGAUACAUCAUGUAACAACAAAUUGAAGACAGAAGAAAAACAAUAUCAAGAUGGCAACCUAACAUUAAGGCGCCUCAGCCACACCGAAUGAAGAAUCAUAUGAAGCAUAUCGUAGGGCCUCGCCGGCCGGUUUAUCGCGAAAUGCCGCUGCACUUGCUUCACCCUCUUUUGCAUUUCCAAAUACGUCUCAGUCGGAACCGCUUUCAAAAUCUUCUUGAUUUCCGGUAUCUUAUCGGAAGUAAUAUAUAUGGAGAACUUGCUCCAAUCAAGAACAUCGCUGAACGGCAAGGAGUAGUGAUCGCAAAUUAUCAUAGGCACACAGCCGGCAGCGAUGGCUUCUACUAUUCUGGGGCUGGCGACUUCGUAUCCACUGGGACACAGGCAAAACUUGCUGUCCCCCAUUGAUUUACUAUAGUUUCGAUUACGGGGAAGGCGCUCAAAAACCUGGACUUCGUCAUCUUUCUCUUUCCAGUACUUGAACAAGACACUCCGUACGUAACCAUGAGCGCCCCCGGCGAAGAAGGCAAGGAUGGGACGCUUGUUGGGGGGCUGGUCGAGGUGGGGCGGACCGAGCUUGCCGCGGGGUAUGUUGAUUUCUGGGAUUGAGAUGUCUCUGAUGGGGUGGAACCUUUCGGAGGUGUUGGCAUUGCAGAGGGCUCUAAUGAAAUGCUUGUAGAGAUCAGGCUUUAGAGCUGAAACGUCUGGUGCCUGAGAUUUCAACAUAUAUGAUCUUAAGUCAAUUUAAAAUUUUUCUUUUCUUUUUCAUAUAAAUCUUAAUUAAAUUCGAAAGAAUUGCAAGGGAUCCCAAAAUAUUCAUCAUACGUAAUGGGGAAAAUGUAUAUACCCAAUCAUGACAAGAAACCAAGAAAUGGUCAGCCCCCUUGCUUCUAUUCCAAUAUGGAUAUUUAUCUGCUACAAAGUUGAUAUAGUCUGUGACCAAUCGUGGAAUCCAUUUACCAUGGUAAUGUGGAGGCUCGUAGAUAAAAUGAACUACUCUAGUUAAACUCAUGGGGAUGUAGAACGCAUUCGCCUCGUCGGGAUGACGAGCCAAAAAUUGGCUCUUUCCACUUUCUAUCUCAUCCAUGAAUUGCCCUUCGAUUGCAUAGAUGUCAUUUGAUGGUCCGUCAUGCAUUAGGGGUUGAUCUCCUUCUCGGUAUGCCCAUAUCUUGAAUCUUUUCUCCAUCUCUAUAUGACUCCUAUUAUAAAAUUGAAAAAAUUAAUUGUGAAAAUUGAUUUAAUUGAAUAAUAAUAAUAAUAAUAAUAAUAAUAAUAAUAGAUUGUUUUUGUUAAUAACAAUCUAUAGUAGCACUUUUUUUUAAAAAAAAAUUUAUUAGGGAGAACAUGUUGGUCUUUAGAUAUAAUAAUAAAAAAGUGUUUUUUAGUCUUACUUUACAUAAUAAAAUUAUAAUUUUUAGAAAAAAAAUACUUAUUAAGAACACGCGCAUGUUUUUUUUAUUUUUAUUUUGGAGAGAUAUAAACUAAGAAAGUAUAAUUUUUGGGAAAAAAAAAAUCUUACUAAAAGCCCAUUUGAAAAUGAUUUUAAAAGAGAUUCAAAGCAUUUUCUAAUAAUGGAAAGUGUUUUCUUACAAAAAUGUGGUGUUUAAUAAAUUUUUGAACACACUAAAAAUUUAAAGAAUCAGUUGAAGUGAUUACUUGACAAUUAAUACUACGAUUUUCUUUGAAAAUUCAUUCGAUCUUAUUCUAAUAAAAAACAUUAGAAAAUUAUUUGUUUUUAAGUUUAUACUCAAACACCAAGUAAGAAUGUGUUUGAUAGUAAUUUUAUGAAAUAUUUCUUAUAUUUCUAAUAUUUCAAAAGAUAAAAAUUUUCAAAUGUUAGAAAAGGUAAAAACACUUCCUAAAAUUACUAUAAAAUGCAUUCUAGAAGUGUGUUUGAUAAUAAUUUUAAAAAACAUUUUUAGUAUUUCUAACACUUAAAUAAUAAAAAUUUUUAAUUAUUAAAAAUGUUAGAAACACUUUCUAAAAUUAAAAAUACUUUCUAAAAUUAUUGUCAAAUAAUACUAAUUUAUUUUUAAAAGUGUUUAUAAUAAAAAUAUAAUUAAUAAGAACACUACACAUAAAAUCAUUUAUUUAUUGUUAAAAGCGAGCCUCAAUAAGUAGAAAGUAGUUAUAACUUUUCACUCGUCAUUUCACCCUAUAAAAAGGAGUUAUUUAAGUUGAUAAAUGAGAUUUAAAAAAAAAAAAAAAAAAGCAGAGAAAAAAAAGAGAUGGAUUUUAGUAAAUGUAAUUUUCAUUCAAUAAAAAGAACAUGCAUGUAAAGUAGGUGUAUUAUGAGACUAAGAGAAGUAUAUAAUUUCAUGAUGGCAAAAAUUGAUAAAGAAAAUAUGAUAUUUAAUUAACUAAUAGAAUGUAAUUAUUAUUUUGUCGUACUGUUUUAUUUAUUUUUAUUUUAAAAAAAUAUUACUAGCUAUUAUUAAAAUGUAAAAAUCUUGUAGAAAAAUAGAAUUUACUUUCUUUUCUUGCACAUUAGUAAAAUUUUAAAAAUUUGAGAUAAUAAAAAAAUUUUAGUGCUUAUAUUUUUUAAACUGUUUUAAAAAUUAUUAUUUUUUAAAGUAAAUGUCUAUUAUUUUGUAAAUGUUUUUUAUAAAAACAAAAACUAGUAUAGGUUGUUAAUUAACCUAAAUCAUUUUGACAUAAGCAAAGGUGAUAUGUGACUUCUUAAUAAUAGUACUAAUAAUAAUAAAUAAAUAAAUAAAAAUAUGAUUACCUACAAUAAAUACCUAAUAUGCAAAAAAAAAAAAAAAACAAAAUGUCACUAAAACUAAUCAAGUUGUUGGAAUGGACUGAAAAUUACAUAGAUAUUAACACAAAAAAAAAUGGAAAAGAAAAGAACAUGAAAUACAGAUUCCAUAGUGCAUUAAGUGAUUAGCCAACAAACAAUCCAAUAUUAUGAAUAAACUGAAUCACCUUCUUGACCUUUGAAAGCCUCAUGUCUUCCUAUGAGAUUUUUCAAUACCAUUACUUGAUUAGGACAAUCUUCUUAAGUCUUUUUGCAAGCAUUCUCCCACCAUUAACAUCAAAAAAUUAUCAGUCUAUGCUAUAAGAAAUAACUUAUUUGAAAUUCUAAAAAGUAAAAAUAAGAAAAAUAAUACUUUCUCUUAAAGUUACUUGUAUUCAAAUGGUAAAAUAUAACCAAAAAUAUGUUAUUUCACACACAUGAAAUGUUACCUGCACUCUAGGGAUCGACCAUGAACUGCAACUAUCAGCAAAGUUUAAUUCUUCAUAAUUACAUUAAGAAUGAAAACGAUAUGAAUUUGUUCCUACUUAGUUUCAAUCAUAUUCAAUGGACCAAUUUAAUCCAAAUCCAAAAUUAAACUUACUAUAAAUUCAAUACAUGGAAGUGUGUCCUAGAAAUCAUAUAUAGAAAAGACGUGGAAUUGUACUCUACACCAAUUUAUCAUAGCACCAUCAAUGAGGCGUGUGGAAAAAAAAAAUGAAAAUGAAGAGGAUCCUUAUUAUUGUUACUGAUAUAAAUGGUAGGCCACGUCACAAUUAUUAAGAAUAUUCAUAAAUUAUUUUAAGAUUUCUUCCAAUGUUGCCAAGGUUUUGGCUUUUCUCAAUUUGCAUGCACACAAUUGACUCAACAUAUAUAAGUAACAGCUGUAUAUACCCUCUACGAAUUAUACAAGACUUUUUAGUUUAAAUAUUUUUAUUGGUUUUUUUUAAUUAAAUUUGGUAAAUAAAUAAUUUAAAUUUUGAUAAAAAAAAAUUACAUUACAAGCCAUCAGAAAGAAACACCCUUUUAUGGGUUAAUGAAACAAAGAUUGAACUGUUCUUAGACUAGGUAGGUAGGAUCAUCAAUUUGAGACUUUCUAGAUGUCUCCUUUUGUCAAAAUAAUGUUUCAAAAUUUUAAAUAAAUAAAGUGGAGGUUAAUAUUUUAUCAUCGAUUUUUUUUUUAUUUCUUAUUUGAUAGAAGAAAAUGAAAGGCAUUCCAAAUUGAUAAUUGUAAAAGUGUUAUUAGAAAUGUUUUCAUGGACAAUUUAAUGAGUAUUUAAAUAUAAAUUCAAUUGGUGUACUUUUUUUUGUGAAAAGAAAAAAAAAAUUGGAAGAAACAUUUAAUGAAUACCAAUAAAAAAAGAUACUUUAAAAGAUUUAUUUAUUUAAAUUUUUUCAAAUACUCAAUUUUUAUUAGGAAAAUAUAUUUAAAUAUUAAUUAACAGGGCAGAUCUAAUGCAUGCCAAAAGAAGCAUAUGCCCCUUUAAUUAUUAUUUUUUUAAAUUAUCAUUAGAUUAUAAAUGCUUUUUGUUCAUUUUUGCCCCGCCAAAAUCAAGAGUUAGAUGUUGCCCACUGUUAAGUCAUUUGCUGGUUUGGUCACUGGUAGCUAAGGUUUCUAAAUCUUCAAGAUGGCUCCUAAAAUGUACUUUUUACUUCAAUUGUCCUUUUUAUUGUUAUGUUUAAUUUUAAAAUCAUAAUAUCAUAUGAAACUACAAUCAAACUAAGAUAAGUUUCUAAAUCAUAUAAUAGAAGCAUUUUUUAUUUAUUUAAUUAUUUCUUAAUAAAUUUUGAAUUAUGAGCCGAAUCUAAGAAUAUAAGUUAGGGAUAGUUUCUUCUUCAAACAUGCAUUACGAAAUGCCACAUUGCUUUGUCAACAAAAUCAUGGUUUUUCAACAUCAUAUUCUACUUACAAAAAUCUUUCAAGAUGUAAGGUUCCUAUUUAAUCAAAUUUUCCUGCAUAAUGAAGCCACCAAAGAGAUUAAUCCAAAGAUUAAUAACUAAAUAAAGAUGAUGCAUGUCUCUAGUUUAGAAAUUAAAUUGUUCUUCCUCGAUAGAAUGAAUUAGCUUUGAACUUAACUGAUGAAAUGCAUACGGAUUUCUGUAGACGUCUCCUCUUGGGAUGAAGGUUUCUUCCUUUUCUGAAGAAUAAUUCCUCCUCUGAAUCGCCCUGCGUAUUGCCUCUCGGGCUCUCGCCAGACCUUCUUCAAUCCUCUCCACAUGACUCAUUUUCUCCUAUAAAAUUGCACCCAAAAAAGAAAAGAAAAGAAAAGGAAAAACAAACGGUUAAUGAACGAAAUUGUUAUUAAGCUUCAAACCAAACAGAAAUCAUUGCUGAAGUGGUAGAUUAUCACGCACUCUGAAACGCUUCCUAAUCUCGUUAGUUGCACUGGCUCCAUCAGUGGAAGUUGAGGGAACCCCAUCUGCAGAAUCAUUUUUCGGCAACAGAGAUGGGGACGAUGAGGUUUGAAGGGUUUGGUGAGUUGUCUCUGAAAGGUUUGAAUCCGUAGGGAGCAAAUGGCGGAGGAUGUUUUGGUUUCGAUUUAUGGGUGACAGGUACAAAGGGAUGAGAACAAUGAGGAAGAGAAUAGCUGGAAAUAUUACGAACCGUGUGGGACUCGAUGUUGCCAUGGCUUCUUCACUUUUUCUGUCUUCUUCUCCACUCACUUUCGUGAAAGGGUAUGAGCGAUAGAUAUGGUUAUGAUACAGACAUAGAGCAUAGAAUGGAACCAAAUAUCUGUAGGUUUUUUUAUUCUGGUUCAUCACGCACUCUUGCUGCUAUUGUCCAAAUUCUAUAUGCGGGACUUACCUUUAGAGUAAUGCUGUCCAAAUUAUAUGAGUGGGAACCACCUUUUGAUGACUUGUCAAAUGGCAGACCAUCUGGUAAACAACAAAAGAAAAUCAUGAUUCUUAAUUAAAAAUAGAAAGACUGUAGGAAGGCUGACCAAGGCCAACAUGAAGGCAGCCUAAGAUUAAAUACAAGGGCUCUUUUCAAAUUAGGUUUGCUUGUAAGAGUUUUGUAAGGGUCUAACAUAAGACUCAAAAUAUUAGUAUCUUUGUUUUGGUUAAUUAUCUUGUAGAAUUUAAUUCCUUUUUUGUACUUUUCAUAACUUGUAGAGAAAUUUCUUCUUGUGUUUAAUUCAAAUUUAUUACAUUCAAAUUGUGGUUUGAAAUUGUCUUUGAACACAUUUUUAGUUAAAAGCAAAAUAUUGUCUCAAAGAAUGAUGACGAAGAUGGAAAGCUUAAUGGGUAUAGUAGAGAGAUAUGUAAAGCUUUCCAAAUUUGAGAUUGAUCAUAUGAAUGGUUGAAAGUGCCUUCUUUAUCAAUAGAAUUAGCUAGAGGUUGAAUGAUAAUACAAUACUUCAAUAUCAAAAUUUAAAUUUAUUCCUAUGCUCCUUCUAUUUUAACAAUAAUUGGGAAUAUGGCAAUAAUCAAUUCACAUGAGGUAUACAUGAUGAAAAAAUUACCUAUAUAUUUGAAUUUUCAAGAAAUUUUGUAGAUAUAAAAUCAUAGGUCAAUUAAUCAUCGGAGAUAAAAUUUACUAAAUAUUAGCAUAAUGUAAAUACUCUUAUAUGAUUUGCAUGCACCUACACUUAAAAGGGCUUUUACAAAUCAAUAUUUAUACUCUUUUUUCACAUUUCUAAUGUAACAUCUCCUACUUCUUAAUGGAUCACGUCAUUUUCGUGUUAAGGUUGUGAAUCAAUAUAGCACAUGUAUUUCCACUUAAAGGACUUUCAUGACAAAUACUUGAAAACUUUCAAAGUUUAGUGUUUAAAAGUAGAACAGUAGUUAUAUCCUCAAUUUGUGCAUCUCAUAGUUAAGACCACGGAAUAUUAUUUAUAGAAAAAUCCUAAAUGAUUUAUUCAAAGUAUAUAUAGAAGGUACGAUAUUAUUAAGAAGGACCAUUUAAACUAUUAAAAAAAAAAUUAACUUCUAUACAAGUUUGCCAAGCACUCAAACCACUCAUAGAGAGACUUUUAAAUGCCUUUUAAGGUAGUGUUAAAUGCCUUUUUACUUAGAGUUUUAAUUACUUUCCAGUUUUAAUAGCCCUUGCAAUGUAAUAAUACUCCAAACAUGCACUUACCCCAAUUGAAAUCAAUGUCUGAAUAACUUGAUCAUGAUCAUAAAGACCUAAGAAACUAAUUAGCGCUAGAAUCAAUAUUUAAAUAUAAUAAAAUUGUCAACCUAGUUUGAAGCACUAAUAGUUCAUCUAUUUGAUAAUUUUAUAACAAAAUAUAGAUUGUAAUGAACCCUCUCAAACUCUUAAAAUAAUGUUUACUACUGCCACAUGGAAUAGAAUCUUAAUCAUAAUAUGCAUUCCCUUCCCUCCUCGCUUAUUUUCAUAAAAACGAAAAAUUAUUCCAUUUUUGUGAAUCUUUCUUAGCACACUACCUAUGACCUAAACACACUCAAACAAAGCUAGGAAAAUUAGUGUAUGAAAAGCAUGUAAAAAAAAUGACUAGUGAACUUUUUUAUUUUUUAUUUUUUGUCACAAAACUAUUAAAGUAGAAAAUGUAGCUAAAAAAUAAUAAGCAUCGAGAAGCAGGAAGACAAAUAUAACCAAUAAUGAGACACAAGCAUCAUCAAAUAAACAUCAUUGAUCAUAUCUAGAAUUGUAAAGGCAUAACUAUGUCAUCCAAUAUAUAAUUAAAAGAGUAUUUGAACACAAUCCGUGAUAUCUAAAAGGAAUAGUCAAAUACAUCCAAAAAGAAGACAACUCAAUCCUAACCAAAUAUACUAAGGCUAUAUUUGGUUCCCGGAAAAUGCGAGAGAAAGAAAAUUGGAAGGAAAAAUGGAAGGAAAGAAAAAGGUAAGGAAAGUAAUAUAAAUUUUUUCACUUGUUUGGUUAUCCAUGAAAAAUUCAAGGGAAAAAAAUUUAUUUUCUUUUGUUUGGUUAACUAUGAAAAAUAAGUCAAGAAAAAAUGAAAGGAAAAUAAAUUCAAUAAUUUGUUUAAGAUGAUUAUCAAUUUAUAGAAUAAUAAAAUAAAUUUCAUAUUCGUAUUUUCUAAAAAUCAGAGGAAGACCCAAUUUUCCAAUCUUCCAAGAUGGAUUCUAGAUGGACCAAAUCGAAGAUCCUUCACAAUUGAAGGGUCUCAAAUAAAGCAAAGCACCAAGCCUGGGAGAGCUGGACGCCGCGGACGACGGGGAGGGGGAUGAAGCGGUAGAGGAGGGACAUGAGGCUGGUGGCGCCGAAGAUGAAGAGGGUGGCGGCAGUGGAGAGACUCGCGACAGCGAUUUGGGGGAGGGAGAGGAGGGGGUCAGAGAUGGCGACGACAGCGAUGGACUUCAUGGGUUGGAUAGGCAUUGGGAUGCUGAAGAGAAAGCCGGUGGAGAUGUUGUAGAGAGCCGUGAAGAUGAGGGUUGUGGAGAGGUCCAGAUGGUUGACCAGUGUGAGAGUUAGGACGAUGGGUAUGUAGGUGCCCAGGUCGCCCACAGAGCCCCCGAGCUCGACGGAGAGAGUGGUUUUGAGACGGAAGGAGCUGAACCACCACCGGCUGGGGCGGAUGAGAGUGGUGGUGGAAGGUGUGUCGUCGGCCAUGAAGGCAGCACAGUCAAAGGACUGAGUUUGUGAAUUCAGUUUUGCGGUGAGAGAGACAGACGAGGGCCGGAGGGGGCAUAGCAACCGGUGAAGAGCCCGAUAAAUUUUCCUUCCUCUUUUUCUCUUAUUUUCCUCGUUAUCUUUUAAGGAAAAUAGUAAGAAAAAUAUUAUGAUAUUUUCCAUCAUAUUUUCCUUUAUAUUUUUUUUCCAUCAUAUUUUCCAUGUAAUCCAAACUAAAGAAAAUGAUUUUCCACAUGAUUUUUUUUCCUUUCCUUAGCAUUUUCCAGGAACCAAACAUAGCCUAAUAGUCCAUAUUCAAGAGUGGGAAAUAUAUGCAAGCUUAGACCAAAUUGAGAAGUAGCCUAAAUUUAGGGAAAAAUUAAAAUUUCGUACUACAAGAAAACAUGCUUUUCCUAGUGAAAAUUUAGGAACAAAAUAAAUUUUUGUCACUAAAAAUAAUUUUUCUAAUAAAAUUCCAAAUAUUGUCACUAACACCAAAUUUUUGACAAAUUUUCAUGAUGAAAUUGAAAUUUCUCCUGCCAAAAUAAGUGGCAGAAAAUUUAGAUUUUUUUUCUCUUUUGUAUAAACAGAGUUAUGAUGAUUUAAUAAACUUAAUCCUACCACAAGUAAGAAUCAAUCUAAAGAAAAUAGUUAGGAUGUUAUCAAAGAGUUGGGUGCACUAAAGGAUUUGUAAGUGAAAGAAUUAAUGCACUUGAGUAGAGAGCUUUGCAUGAGAGAAAAUAAAUGGUAACAAAUAAACGCAAGUGUUCUCUUGGUCAAUAAAUGUAUAAGAACUCUCUAAUUUAUAGAAAAACUUCUCAGGCACCCAAAAUUUAGCAAAAAGUGCUAAAUUGGUUGAGCUUCAAUUCAAUCGAUUGGAUAGUAAUUGGGGCAUUUAAUGCUCUAUAGGCAACCAUUGGUGAGAUUUAGCUUUGAUCGAUUAAACACUAGAUAUUGGAAAAGAAAAGAUUUUUUAACAACUUUGCUUAGUCUGAUUCAUGCCUAAUUGGUGUCUCAGCUGAUUCGUGUCCAGCUGGUGCUCCUUGAUUGAGGGAGUAAUCAACAAAAUUUAUAACCUAUAACACCAUAUACUAGGGUAGCAAAGAAAAAGCUACUAUAGUAUAGUGGCUCUAGGAUCGUUCACUGGGAAGGAUUAGCAAGCUAUCAAUGAUACCAAUUCAAAGUGAAUUGAGCUUGUUUCAUUUCAAGGUUAGCUUAAGAAAUAAAACAUAAACUUUGAUUGGUAAAGAUUUAGACUUAAACUAGCUAACACAAUAAGUAAUGGGAAAAACUUAGGAAGACAAACAUUCCUUGGAGAGUUAGGUUUACUGGGGUGGUUCCUCGUGCAAAAGACAUAGUUCCGGUCAGAUGGUUCAUUUCCUCGCGUUAGAGAUUCAACAUAUAGUCAAUUCUUUAACCGGUGUUGUACAGAUACAUCCUUCAAUUAGAUUUCACUUUAAUUCUCUCAUUGAUGCAACUUGCAAUGGUUUAAGCCUCUCACUAAGCCUUAACCAUUCAAGGUGAUCUUUAACCUUGGAUUACCCGUCAAAAGCUCGCAAGAGAUAACUAAUGGAUGUCUCCUUGGAGUCUAAAAGCUUAGCAAGUGUUGGCUAUUCUAGAAAAUCCUACCCUAAAGUCACCUCCUAGAGGCUCGCAAGGGGUAAACUAGUGCAUUUCCACGGUUGGAAAUCACUUGCCUUACCAAGUGUUGGCCCAGGUGACUCUAAGGUGUUUUAAGUUAACUAAAAACAUAGAAAUCACUAAAGGAUUUCACUUCCUCUUCAUUACUUGCUAAAACCACAAAGCUUUGCAUUCUUGCACUUGGAACCUUCCCCAGCAACCUUAGCUCCAAGGAACUAGAGGUUUAGUUACUCAUCCUCUGGGGAAAACUCCUCAGAGAGUUCAUAACUUAGUAAGAAAUAAAUAAUACAAAGUGAGAAGGUAAGGCAAAACAAAGGCCUGAACUUUACUUGCUUUCCCAAAACUUUACAAAGGAUCCCCCCUUGAGAACAGGCUCCCGAGAGGUAUUUAUAUGAACAUAAUAUAAAACUAAUUAUUACAUAGAUAUUUUCUCUUUUUACUAACUUAAAAGCUAAGGAAACUUGUAAUUGGUGGCUUACAAGGAGUAUUUUGGGAUUUUGACAACAAAAAUCUGAUGUAAAAUAUCUCCCAAUGUCGGUAGCAAAUAUCGGGAUGCUCCAGGAACCAUUUCGCAAGAGAAAAUGGUGUCUGCGAGAUUUCGCAGACACUCAAGAAGGGCUGCGAAAUCACUUCGCAGCAAAAGGCCAUUCUCGCAGGGCUGCGAAGUUGGCUUCCACCUUGAGGUUCCCAGCUUCCUCCUUGCGGCAUAUAUCGGGCAACUUCAGAAGGAAAUACACCCUAUUGUACAAAAAGGCUGCGAAAUCACUUCGCAACAAAAGGGUGAUUUCGCAACACUUUGCAAAAUGCUUCCUUCAGCUUGGAGUGAUUGGCUUGCAAUGACUACAACUUCUUCGUUUCAACUCCGAAUUGCACACCGUUUGAAGCAUUGGAUUGUUGACUUCCUGAGCUUCGAAACGACAUAUAGCAUGCAUAAAUUGGACUUCAAGAAGUGCUCCAAAAGUGGCUGCCAUGACUGUCAUCAAGAAUAUGCUUCAUGGCAGAUUCUCUUUACUUUUUCUCAUUGCAUUCCGGAUUUACUCUUGGCAAAUGACUUCCAAGCUUUUCCCAAGAUUCCUCAUAACUCUCCUCAAUCUUGAAUUGCUUUGGUGAUCAAAUUACUAACAAAAACAUCAAAACUUACACAAAGUGAUUAAAAUUGCUUUCAAGGGUCCUUAACAUGCCAAUUGAGUUAAAAGGCCAAAACUACUACUCAAAAGUGUUUAAAAGGAUUAAUUAUAAGCUAUCAAAUAGCACUUUUUGAGUAGUAAUCAUAGUCCUCAUCAAUUGAGAAAGCUUAGGCGAUUGAACCGGUUCCUUAAUUGAUUCUAUCAGUUCAAGCCACCCUUGAUUGGUUAAGCAAAAACUAGCUCAAAAAGCUUCUCAUUUUAGCUCUAAUAUUCCAAUAACUUGAACAUUUCAUUUAAAAACCUUUAUAGGAAAUUUUUAAAAGAAUUUAGCCUAAGGUUUUGAGGUAAAAUGCGUAUUCAUCCAUUUUUAAGAAAUUAAGAUCAUUCUUAAACUAUCAAGGUAUGAAUGAAUGCAUUCGAAAGUGCAUGAGAAAUCAAUUUUAUACUAAGCGUACCUAUGAGACUCAUUUUACAUUGGUUCCUAGACAUCUUGAGUCUUCAAGGAUCCAUCUCUUUAUAAUGUUUAAAUUUCUUAUGAACAAUCUUAAGCUUUCUUCUGAAUUUAUCAAUAAAACCUAAAAUUUUAUUUGAUUUAAACAAGUUAGUACACUUAUCCUUGUUUUCUUAUCAUCAAAAUGUAUUUUGGAGAAUCCUUAGGCUAACAUCAAUUUUGAUUUUAAUGUUAAUUUUAGUAAUUUUAAUUAUAGUUUUAGUUGUUAACUUGAAUGUUAGUCUUAGUUUUGACUUUAAUUUUAAUUUUAUUUUUGAACUAAAUUCCAAUCCUCAUCUUAGUCUUAAUUUUAAUUUCAAUUUUGAAAUCAAUUUUAGUUUUGAAUUUAAUUUUUAUUUUUAUUUUAAUCUUCAUUUUAAUUUUAAUCUUAAUUUUAAUUUAAUCUUAAUUUUAAUUUUAAUCUUAUAAUUUUGAUCUUGAUUUUGAUUUUAAUUUUAAUCUUAGAAAUGAAAAGAAAAUUUGUUUUUUAUGAUUAAAAUUCAAAUUGGAGAACAAAAGUUUGAAGAAAACCAACAAAGGAAAAAUUUAGUUUAAUCUUAAUUUUAUUUUUAAUGUUCAUUUUAGUAAUUUUAAUAUGGUUUUAAUCUUUAACUUUAAUUUUUGUCUUAAUUUGGGUGACAUCACAUAUCGGAUAUGGGAGAAAGUUCCUGACGCUAUAUAUGUAGAGGCUCCUCUUAACCUUAUAGAUUUGUUUUAAAGUCGUGAAAGUUCAUUUGGGUCCAGAGUGAACAAUAUCUACAUGGUUGGGUGCGGGUCAUUACAAAUGGUAUCAAAACCGAUCCCUAACCCCGAUGUGGGAGUUUGUUUGGUACCAUAGGGGGUGUUUGUUUGUUUCACCCCAUAAUCUUGUAUGACACAACAAGGAUGUUAUGUUUGCAUAGGGGAGAAAGUUUCUGAUGCUAUAUAUAUAGAAACUCAUCUUAACUUUGUAGAUGCGUUUUAAAGUCGUGAGGGCCCCCUUGGGUUUAAAACGGACAAUAUCUACAUGGUUGGGUGUGGGUCAUUACAAAUCGUAUCAAAGUCAAUCCCCAACUCUAAUGUGGGGGUUUGUUUGGCCCCAUAUGAGGUGUUUGUCUGUUUGACUUCACAAUCCUAUGGAACACAACGAGGACGUUGUGUCUACAUAGAGGGUGGUUUGUGACAUCCCACAUUGGAUAGGGGGGAAAGUUUUUGGCGCUAUAUAUGUAUGGACUCUUUUAACACUGUAAACGUGUUUUAAAACCGUAAGGGCCCCUUUGGGUCUAAAGUGGACAAUAUUUACAUGGUUUGGUGCGGGUCAUUAUAAAUCGUAUCAGAGCCGAUUUCCAACCCUAAUGUGAGAGUUUGUUUGGUCCUAUAGGAGGUGUUUGUUUGUUUGUUUGGCCCCAUAAUCCUGUAAGACACAACGAGGACGUUAUGUCUGCAUGAGGGGUGUUUAUGACAUCUCACAUCGAAUAGGGGAGAAAGUUCCUAGUGCUAUAUAUGUAGAGACUCAUUUUAACUCUAUAGACACAUUUUAAAGCCAUGAGAACCCCCUUGGGUCCAGAGCAGACAAUAUCUACAUGAUUAGGUUGUUACAAAUAGUAUUAGAGUCGAUCUCUGACCCCACUGUGGGGGUUUGUUUAGCCCGUAAGGGGUGUUUGUCUGUUUGGCCCAGCAAUCCUAUGGGACACAACAAGGAUGUUGUGUUUGUAUGAGGAAAUGUUUGUGACAUCCCACAUCGGAUAGAGGAGAAAGUUCUUGACGCUAUAUAUAUUCCUCUUAACCUUGUAGAUGUAUUUUAAAGUUGUGAGGGUCAUUUGGGUCUAGAGUAGACAAUAACUACAUGGUUGGGUGCGGGUCGUUACAAAUGAUAUCAGAGCCGAUCCUCAACCUCAAUGUGGGAGUUUGUUUGGUCCCGUAGGGGGUGUUUGUUUGUUUGGUCUAAUAAUCACAUGGAACACAACGAGGAAAUUAUGUCUUUAUGGGAGGGAGUGUUUAUGGCAUCCCACACUGGAUAUGGGAGAAAGUUCUUAGCGCUAUAUAUAUAGAGGUUUUUCUUAACUCUGCAGACGCAUUUUAAAGCUGUGAAAGCCCUAUUGGGUUAAGAACGGACAAUAUCUACAUGGUUAGGUGUGGGUUGUUACAAAUAGUAUCAAAGUCAAUCUCUGACUAUGAUGUGGGGGUUUGUUUCACUCCUUAUGAGGUGUUUGUCUGUUUAACUCCGCAAUCCCAUGGAAUACAAUGAGGACAUUAUGCAUACAUGGUGGUGGUUUGUGACAUCCCACAUCAAAUAGGGGAGAAAGUUUUUGGCACUACAUAUGUAUGGACUCUCCUCUUAAGUAAGUAGACGUAUUUUAAAGUUGUGAGGGCUCAUUUGGGUCCAGAGCGAACAAUAUCUAUACGGUUGGGUGCGAGUUGUUACAAAUGGUAUCAGUGCCAAUCCUUGACCACGGUGUAGGGGUUUGUUUGGUUCUGUAAUCUUAUGGGACACAACAAAGACGUUGUGAUUGCAUGAGAGAGAGAGAGAGAGAGAGAGAGAGGUUUGUGACAUCCCACAUUGAUUACUACUCAAAAAGUACUCUUUUAUAGCUUGAAACUAAUUGUUUUAAACACUUUUGAGUAGUAGUUAAUACAUUUUAACUCAAUUGGCACAUUAUGGAACCUAGCAAGGGUUACUAAUCAGUUUUUAGCAAGUUUUGGUGUUUUUGGUAGCUAUUUGAUCAUUGAAACAAGCCAAGAAUGAGGGAGAAUUUUGUGAAAUCCAUGGCAAUGCAAGUUGAAGCUCAAAUACAUGAAGAAUCCGAGCUUUGGAGCACUUCAUAGCCCUUUGCCAAGACAAUCAGAGAUGCAAGAAAGAAAACCAGAUGAAGUAAUCCAACAACCGGCAUUUUCGCAUGGCUAUGCGAAAAUUUCGCAUAGCAUGCGAAAAUUUAGAGGAGGAGCAGUUGCAGGACUGAGUGAAGGACAAAUUUUGCAUACCCUGUGAAACCAUAAGAGGCAGCCAAAGAAUUUCGUACACUAUGCGAAAUUUCGCAUGGUAUGCGAAAUCUUCUUGUGCACCAACUCCGUUAGAUUUUUAUUUCUAAAUAUUUGGUGUAAUUUCCUAUUUUCUCCUUAUAAUCAACCUAGAUAUUUUCUUUUAUAUCUUUUUAUAUUUUUUUGGUAACAUCUUAGAUAGACACAGAGGGAGACACACAGAUGGAUGGAGAUUCAUUGAACACUUGUAAAUUCCCGUAGUAAGAAAUAUACAGAACUUUUGCUCUGUCUUUCCUUCUCAUUUUAUUUUCACUUUUCUUUUUAGCCAAACAACCUCUGAGGAUGAUUUCUCAAGGGAUGAGUGGCUAGGUUUUAUGUUUCUUGGAGUGAUAGAAGCUAGGUGAAGGACCCGAAUGCAAAGGUGAGAGUUGUCCUUGCUUUAAAUGAAAGUAGUUGUUAACCAUUAGUGGUUUUUAUUUCAAGGUUUAGCUUUAAAUCCCUUAAAAUCACCUUGAAUGACCAAUACUUGGUAAGCUUUUCGGAUUCUAUGGAUGCUUAUUGCUAGAUCCAUGGAUGUCCAUUAGUUAUCAUUUACGAGACAUUGGAAGGUGGUUCAAGGUGAGAAUCACCUUGAAUGGCCAAUACUUGGUAAGCUUUUCGGAUUCUAUAGAUGUUUAUUGCUAGAUCCAUGGAUGUCCAUUAGUUAUCAUUUACAAGCCAUUGGAAGGUGGUUUAAGGUGAGGGUCUUUAGUGUUUAAAGCCAUUAAUGGGAAACAAUUACCAUUUUUCAUGAACCUUUUGGAUCAAAUCUUAAUUGCUAAAUACAAAACCGGUUCGGGAAAUAACCAUCUUUUAUGUUAUUGUCCCCAACGCAAGGAGAAGAUCCGGAAUCUCCCCCUUUGCCUAAAGAACCCGAUCCUAGUGACCUAAAGCUCCAAGAGACUUUUUCUUUGUAGUUAACUUCACUUAUUAUUUUUGCUUAACUUAAAAUCAAUCUUUGCAACCACAAUUCCAUUUUCUUUAAAAGCUAAUUUUCAUAAGGAAAAACACCAUUUUAUUUCCUUCACUAGAGUCAACUGUACGAUGAAAACCCAUCCCUGUGGACGAUCCUAGAGCCACUAUACUAUGUUAGCUAUGCUACCUUAGUGUAAGGUGAUUUAGGCUUUAUAAAUUUUGUUGAUAACACCCAUCUAGGCCAAAAUCAAAUGGCACGACUGUAAUGGGGACGAAUCACACAUUGACAAAUUUUAACGACAAAUUGGUCAUGUAAUGGUUUGAAAAAUGUCUAUGAAAUAUAUGAGAUCAUGCUAAAAUUUUGAUAUGAAAUUUAGUUUACUAAAUUAUUAUGUUUGAAUUUUUUUUAUUUCUUGUUUUGUUUUAUUUUUUUAUUUUCUCAUUUUUGGCAUUUCCCUUAUGGGGCUAUGGAUUUGCUAGAUCCUAAGACUAGUAAAGUCUUUAAGGUUAAUGGCGAUAGGGUUAAGCCAUUUGUGGAGGGAAUCAAUGAAGUUGGGGAUCAAAUCCCCUUUCAAAUUAAUGUUGCUCACUAGCCCAAAUGAGUUCUUCUUCAUUUUGUACAUAGUUGGAGCUUUCAGGGAGUGUGUGCGUUCAUUUCUUUUGGUGUUAUUAUUUAUUUUUCUUUAUUUAGGUGGGUUGCUUCAUAAUUUUAAUCUCAAAUGGUGCAAAACAUAUGUUCUUCUGAUGGAAAGAAUGGGAGAUGGCAGGUGCUAGUUUGCUGUGGAUUCGAAGUCUUUCGAGAUUUUGAUCAACAUUGUUGGAGGGGGAGCUUCGUGGUAUCAUCUUGGAGAAAAGUAGAGGCUUCUCCACUUGGAUAAGGUUUGACGAUUCUAGUUUGAGGUGUUUUCUGGAGGGAGUGGAAGUUUGCUGUAGGGAGGAGAGGCUUGGGAAAGUUGUAAAAAAUUGGGAAAAUGAGAGAAAGAGAUUUAGAUUGAAAAAAUGUGCUAACGAGGUGGGGAGGUACAUUCUUUGCUAUGGUCGUAAUUUGGAAGCAAAGAGGUUCUGUUUGGUAUUUCUGGAUGGUAGAAGGAUUCUAGAAGGGUGGGUUUUGCUAGUUGACAAGCUNNNNNNNNNNNNNNNNNNNNNNNNNNNNNNNNNNNNNNNNNNNNNNNNNNNNNNNNNNNNNNNNNNNNNNNNNNNNNNNNNNNNNNNNNNNNNNNNNNNNGGGGGGGGGGGGUGAGUUUUUGGAAUUUGGGAGGUGACUUCUUUCUUACAGAAUUUGAGGUUGUAGAGGAAGCUGAAAGAGUGCUACGAAGAGGGAUUCGACAUUUUAAGGAUAAGACGUUUCAUCUAGAGAGGUAGGGACCCGAGGUAGGUUGUUUUUGCCCGGAGUUCAUGCAAAUCACUAUUGGGUGAGGGCGGUGGGGCUUCCUCUAAAUUUAUAAAACUAGAAGGUGUUCAGGAAAUUGGAGGAUAGUCGCGAAGGGUUGAUUGCUGUGGAUGAUGACACGUCUAAAUUUGUGCAGCUUCAGUGAGCUAGGCAUUUGUGAGGACGUAAGGGAAGAUUUACUUGGGUCGUUACAUUUGGUGGUGGGUUCCUUAUGUUUUGCAAUCUAGCUAUUGUGGGAAGUGCCACCUUGGGUGUCAGUGGUGGUGCCGACGCAAGGGAAGGAGUGGUCGAAUGUUAGAAAUGAAAGAGGUUUGGAUUCACACGUUUGGAGCAGCGUGGGGCCAUCGUGGGUGCAAGGGCAGACUCUAAGGGAUGGAGUAGUAGGGCCAGUUGGUGAAGGUAGAGCUUAGCAGAUGGGAGUUAUUUCUAAUCAGUAUGGCAUGAGUAUGGUCGAGGGUGCCGAGGUAGGUGUAGGAAAUGAUGGGAAUGGGAAGGGGAAGGGGAAUGAGAAAAGAGUAGUUGAGGUUACUAGUGUUAGUUCAUAUGAUGGAGUGAGAUUAAAGGGGAAAGGAAGUUGGCCUAGAGUGCUUUGGGUCGAGUCGGACAAGGUGAGAAACAACGAGCUUUUGAGAGCCCAGGAUUCCUGUCAGCGGGUUGUUGUUAAGUUUGGGCCUGUAGUCCAUGAGGUUCUUAGGAUGGACUUUUCUUUGGGGAUAUUAGGAGCCGUUGGGCUUGGGGACUCAAGCCAGUCCAACUUUCCAACUAUUAGUCAAGAGGGUCUAGCCUAGAUGACUGUUACUGGAAGAUUAAAUAGGGUUAGGGCUCCUAUUGUUGAGUCUUCGUGUUUGGAAAGGAGGCUCAUUGAAGCAAUUCUCAGUGUUGUGUUGUUGGCUAAAGAAAGAGGAAAGUUUAGAGCAUAUGAGUCCCUAUUGGAGGAAGCUUCUAGGUACUCCCAUUUUGAGACUUGCUCUUUUCUUAGCCUUGAGGGUCAAGGUUCUUCUUCUUCUUUCUGUGGAGGGAAAAAAGAGGUGGUGGUUACUAACCAAGACCUUGUGGCAUUCAAGGGCCAUCCUAUGUGAACGGAAAGGGGUUGGUUGACCCAUUGAGAGUAAUCCGGGUAGAUGGGAGGGAGAGGGGAGUUUCGAUCGAUUUGGAAGAGGGAACCAAAAAAUAUGAUGGGAGAGCGUUGCUAGCAAAAGAUGUGGAAAGAGUUUUGGAGGAGGAAAAAAUGAGUGUUUUGGGUUUGUGGAUAAAUGGUAGUUUCGUGAAACUUUGUCAUUGUCUGGGUAUGCCUACUGAGGGGUUUGAGGGGGAAUUUCGUUGCUUUUGAGAAAAAUGGAAGAGAGGAAAAAUCUUAAGGGUGUUUCGACCGAAAAAAGAAGGAAAAUACAAAAGGUUUCUAGAUCAGAGAAGGAAUUGAAAAAACUUAAGUGCUCAGUGAAUUACAGUGGUGCUAGGAGAAAUGCGGGGAUACUUCAGUUUGCUAACUAAAGUUGGUGUCUUUUUGGUGCUGAGAGGUAAGUGAGGUUUUUCUAGGUUUGUGUAAUGAAGUUAAGAAUAUUAUCGUGGAACGUAAGAGAGGCUAAUGAUUAUGAGAAAAGAAAGGUGAUCAAGGCAUUGAUUAAAGAUCAAAAUGUGGAUUUGGUGUGCUUGCAGGAGACUAAGAUGCAGGAGAUGUCAGAAAGGAUAGUGUGGACCCGCAUUUUUCACGUGCGUCCCCACUCGAUCGACGAGACUCGCUUUUUAUUUGUGAAAAAUUGAUUUUUGAAAAAAAAGUUGGAGUCGCCACUUAUUUUAUUUUUAUUUUUGAAGGGAAAAUAAAACAAGAAAUAAAACCCUAAAAAAAUUGACUCCAUAAUUUUUGGAAAAGCGUGUCUUUGAAAAACCCGAGUCUAAGUCCGGGGAUCAGGUUACUUAUUGGGAAGGUACCUCUAGGAGGUAGCACCCCUCUAAGCCCUAAAGAGGUCUCUACUGACUAAGUUAAGGGAAGCGUGGCAAUUAAAUGGUUGAUCUUGGAUACCUAAGUAGGCUAGGUGAUUCCAAAAAAAAACAUAACAUAUCAAACAAGAUCAAAUCACAAUUAAGGAGAGUUAAAAAUGCGUACCUGGACGGCUUCCCAAGCGCUAUCAUAAAACAUAAGAGAUUAGUUUGGAGAUACAUCACACAACAUUUGUUUUAUCAAAGAUAAUCAAACAAUCAUCAAAUGUAUAUCAAGGCAAUUAAAGAGGAUAGCAAGCAUGGACAUACAUAUUCAUAGGGUUUAGAAAGUGGGUAUUAUGGAACGUACCUGGAUAGCAUAUUUAACUCCUAAUGCGCUUCCACAAAACAUGAGAGGUUAGAUAACAAACAAUAAAAUAAGAAGUCCUAGCAUGCUCGUUAUCUAAUUAUCAUAGCAGAAAUUGUCAAAAUAUAUGAAAACAAUAAUUAUCACACUCAUCCUGUAUACCAUUUCUAAAAAAAAGAUAGACAUAAUUUCAACAAGUGACAAAAAUGGCAAUAAAAAUAAUUUUUGAAAAGAUUUUCUUAUGUAGGGGUUUCACCAAUUCCCCAAAUUAAUAUACACAAAUUUAGCCCAGAAUUAUCCCAUUAUUUGGGACCACAAGCUUUGAUUCGUGUUUUUGUUCAAAACCAAACUUUUUGUUAGAAACCGAGAAGGAUGCAAACCGAACAAAAUAUGGUUGCAUAUUAUUUUUUAAAAUAAAAAAAAAGAUUUUGAUCCUGAGGACUCUAAAUGAGUUUUUGAAAUAAAUUUUUAAAAUGAUUUUUUGAGAAAAGUAUUUUAUUUUAAAAUAAAAGGAAUUAAUUUGGAAAAAAUAAAAUAUAAGAAAUAAAAUACCAAACAAAACAAAAAUGAAACCUCAAAGUAAAAUUUUUUAGUAAUUAACAAAAAUGAUAAUGGUGAUGGUAGAGACCAAUCUUCAUGAUUUUCCAAUGGCCUCUAAAAAUCAAAUUUAAUAAAUAUUCAUCAAAGCAACAAACCAAACGACUUUAGAUCAAAUAAAACUAAUGAAAUAUUAAUCGGGAAUUUAUAAGGAUCAAUCAAACACAUAAAUUGAGAUAAACAAUCUAGAACUAAUUUAAAAUCAACCAAACACCUAAACAUGUAAUUAUAAUAAUGUGAAUAUAGUAACACAAGCACAUAGAAUUCUAAAACAUAUUAACUAAUCAAAAACUAGAAUCAUCAAUUUUAGAACGUGAGCAAAAUAACAUAAGAUUAGUUAAACUAAUUAACCUAUUAGAAAAAAAAAAAAAGCAUGAACUAAAUAUUGAUAAACCAAGAAUGAAGAUUAGUAUACUCAAAACAUGAAUAAUACGACUUAGGGUUAAUUAAAUUAGUUAUCUAAAACUUUGGAAAACAUACAAACUAAAAGUGGAUCAACCAAGAAUUAACCAAAUAUUUCUUAAACUAAUCAACUUAAAUCCUAAAAAGGAUGAAUCAGAAAAAUGAUUUACAAUUUUUUUUUUUAAAAAACAUAAAUUUAAUUAGAUGGGAUCAAAUAGACUAAUGAGCUAAAAUUCUAAAAUAUCUAAACUAAAUAAGAUGAACCAAAACAAGAUCAAAAUAAACUUAAAAACAUAAACUUUAUUACAUAGGAUCAAUUAGAAUGAUAGACUAAAAAUUAUAAAACACUUGAACUAAAUAAAAAGCUGACUCAUAAAAAAACUGACUUUUAAAAUUAAAUCUAUUAAAACCGAUCUAAGCAAAAUUCUAACUUUUCGAACUAAGCAAGGAAUCAAAUCCAAACUACACAAAGAUUCUAAUUUUUCAAUGUAAUAUAAUGAAUCAAAAUUAAAAUAAAACAAAAAAUUCUCACCUUUUAAACCAAAGUAAUGAAUCAAAACUAAGCAAAAAAAAAUUUACUUUUCAAUCUAAUAUAAAAAAAAUCAAAACUAGAUUAAACAAAAUUCAAACAUUUCAAAAAUAACGCAAGGAAUAAAAAAUAAAUUAAAUAAAAUUUUAACCUUUCAAUCUAGUUCAAUGAAUAAAAAAUUGAAUCAAACAAAAAUUCUAAUUUUUCGAGACAAACAUAAUGAAUUAAACUUAAACUAAACAAAACCUAACUUUUGAAACCAUGACAAUAAAUCAAAAUCAAACUAACUACAUCCUAACUUUUUCAUCCGAUUAAAAAAAAAAAUCAAAAUUAAUACAUAAAAACUCUAACUUUCAAUCCAAUAAAAAAAUUAAAACUAAAAUCCUUAGAAAUUCUAACUUACCUUCUCUAGAGUUCCUCUAUGGUGGUGCGGCUGCUAGUGCUCAAUGGUGAAUGUGUGGUGGCUGCCUCCUUCCUCUUCCUUCUCACCGGCCUCUCUUUGUUCCCUAAAAAUAAUAUCUCUCCGUGUCAAUCUCUAAAAAAAUAAAUCCUUCCGUUGCUUCCAAAAAAUAAUAUCUCUCCGUGUGGAUCUCCAAAAAAAAAUCCUUCCUCCUAUAUGGCAGCCUCCUCCUUUAUACAUAUAUGAGUUGCCUUCUUUUUAUUUGGAAAGUUCGUCUUCUCCCAAUUGUGCAUGGCUUUUCCUAGUAUGGAAAAUGUGAUUGCCAAUAUACCGAAUGCAUGAUUCUGUCCUCCAAAAAAAUAUCUCAUGCAACCACAAUAUUUUCUUAUUAAAAAUUCAGCUUCCCAUAAAUUCUCUAGUGUCAUUGAACUCCAAUUUCGAAUUGCAUAAAGAUACCUCUUAGACUUUCUAUCACACCCCAUUUCAUCAACCCUCCUCACAGAAUCUUUAAUACUCUCCGGCUUAUGCAGCAAAAAUCUCGGGAAGCUAAAUACAACUUUCUUUAUCUGUGUCGUGCUGAUUCCACAACUCUUCAUGAAUUCAAUAUUAGGUUUCAAGGUCUUCCCUAAAUCAUGUUUCAGAAACCGCGCACAAAUCUUCAAAACCUUAGAGACAUCCGAGUUCGAACCCAUAACACUCUGCAAUGCUACAAUUGAUGGCAGCAAGCCAUUAUUAGCACUCCUAUUUAAGAUCCACGGGUCUUGCGAUAUAAUAUAAGCAAUGUCGGUGGGCGUACAGCCCAAAUCCUGGAAAAUCUUGAUUUUGGGCUUGAUGGUCUUGUCAAGGUUGGCAGAGAGAACACGGGGGACUCGUUUGACUGUUUUCUCGAGAUGGGUCUGGGAAAAGCCGCUUUCCUUGAGGAAUGCUAGUAUGGAAUCAGACUUCUCGGGCUUUUUCAAAUGUUAUCACAGAAGCGGCCGUUAGAGCGGUUUCUUGGGAGAACUGGUGCCGCUUGAUCAAGUAAUCGGCAGUAGAGACGGGGAUAGCUGGUUUUUUUUUUUUUUUUUUUUUUGGGGUCCGGAGGAGGAGAAGAAGAGGAGAGAGAGGGAGCAGGAGAAGUGAGGUUUGUUGGUGGAGGCAGCGCAGAAGCAGUGGUCGCCGGAAGAGGAGCGAGCUUGGGUAGUUAUUGUUCAGCGUGGAGUUCCGGUUCGACGAUUUCUUCUUGGCAACGUUGAGGAGAUACCUGUCCACGCUGGGUUUUAGUCAAGAAGGUGAGCCUUUUCAUGUUGGUCGCGGUGGAGGCGAUGAUGGUGGCGAACUCUGUCGGCAGUUGUGAACUUCCCCUUUUUCAAUGCAAAAUUCCAGAAGCACUAGCAGUCCUGUUGCGGCUUCUUUUUUAUAUCGGCAUCAGAAGUCACUAAAACUCCAGUUGUCAUUCACCCUCAGGCGUGGUAUGCAUGCCCCCAUGUCCACAUGUUCUUCACGCCAGAUCAUCCUCUCCAGAGACUUCCAGAGAAACUCCAAAAAUGCCUGACCUCCUAUGCCUUGCUCACGUGACAGCUGCAUCAACUUCAUCCUUCUUUAAAAUUCCUCUUCCCAUGCAAAAUAUAAUAGAAUAAUAGUAUAAAAAAAAAUUAAAAGGAAACUAAAGAAACUAAUGAAAUUAGUAAUAAAAUAGAAUAUGAUUUCAAAAAAAAAGGCAAAGGAAUAAUGAGAGCUUAGAUAAUAUCAUUUCCUCCUUCAAUAAUAGGGUCACAUGCGUAUUUAAAGUAUAAACAAUUCAAGCAAUUUUUUUUAUUAAGUAAAUAAAUAAAAAUAAAUAAAUAAAUAAAGACAAUUAAAUACAUGAAUAAAUAAAUAAUAAAAAGUAAAAGUAAAAAAUGAAUAGACAAAAUAAAUGUAAUUAUCAAAUACAUGCCAUAAUAAUAAUAAUAUUGUAUAUAUAAGAAAUAAUAACAAUAAAAUGUUGAGCCUCAAUGAAAUGUCUAAAUGGACCUAUUCUGAAAAAGGUGUCUAAGUGACCCAAGUGACGUGUGUAAAUAAGGAGGUGUCUCGGUGCGAGUCAAGGUGAAUCUAGGUGGGCCUAGGGUGCCUAAAUGGACCUAGGGUGCCUAAAUGGGCUUAAGUGCCUAAGUGGGCCCAGGGUGCCUAAGUGGACUUAAGAUGGUGCUUAAUGGGCCAAGUGCAUCUCAAAACUAUCCUAGAAAUGAAUGAAAAGUCUAAUUCUAAAUUAGGGCUGCCAAAGGUCACAAUAAGGGGUCAGAUAAUCCCUCAACCAAAGUCUCUGAGGUGGCUCAAGAAAGAUAAGUAGUAUGAGUAGCUAUGGGCCACCAAGGAACUACUAUAAAGUAUCGAAUAAGUAUCUAAUAGGACAUGUGCUAGGAGGACAAAAUUGAGGGUCUACAGAUAGUCAGGAGCCUUGGUGUGGGAAGAUGUUUAGAUUGGGAGGCCGUCAACUCGAGAGGGGCCUCUGGUGGAGUGUUGGUGUUUUGAGAUAAUAGGGUGUUACAGUUAUUGGAGGCAGAAGUAGGGAUUUUCUCAGUGUUUUAGUGGUUCAAAAUAUGUGAGGAUGACUUUUGUUGGAACUUCACUAGGGUCUAUGGUCCUACGUUGAAAAAAUAGAGGGAAGAUUUUUUGGAUGAAUUAAAUGCUAUGAGAGGGUUAUGGGGUGGCCCUUGGUGCAUGGCAGGUGAUUUUAAUGUGGUUAGGUUCCCUGUGGAAAGCAGUAUGAGAGGCAGACUAACCUACUCAAUGAAGAGAUUCUUGGAGAUUAUUGAGGAUUUAGAGUUAAGGGACCUACCUUUGCAGGGAGGCUCUUUCACUUGGAAUGGUGGGUUGAAUAAUCAAUCUCAUUCUAUGCUUGAUCGGUUUUUGGUCUCAAAUGAGUGGGAAUGUCACUUUUCAGGGGUUGUGCAGUGUGUUCUUCCUAAACCGGUUUCAGAUUAUUUUCCAAUUCUUCUAGAUGGGGGAUGAGUGAGAAGAGACCCGAUGCCUUUUAGAUUUGAAAAUAUGUGGUUGAAGAAGAAAGGUUUCAAGGAAAAAGUGUAGGCUUUGUGGGAAGGUCUCAGUUUUAGUGGGUCUGCUAGCUUUGUGUUGGUAGCUAAGUUGAAAGCUUUGAAGCCAUUAUUGAGAGACUGGAAUAGGUUGGAUUUCGGUAAAAUGGAAGUCAAUAAGACUUUGGCUUUGAAUCAGGUGGAUUUCUGUGACAAGGUAAAGUUAACCUUGCCUCUUACUGUUCAUGAAUUGGAAGCAAGGAGAGAAGCAAAUGAGGACUUUAAAAAGUGGGUUUUUCUGGAAGAAAUUUUGUGGAGACAGAAAUCAAGGAAAGUUUGGCUGAGUGAGGGGGAUAGGAACACUAGUUUCUUCUAGAGGAGAAUGGGGUUAGAAAUGGUGUGGUGAAUGAGUUUAAGUUGUUGAUGUCUGUUGCAAGAUGAUGGAGACCCAAUAUAAGUGGGAUGUCCUUUGAGAAGUUGGAGUCUAUGGAUGCAACUAGACUGGAUGAGCCGUUUUCAGAGCAGGAGGUGCUAGAAGCUCUUAAGGGCUUUUGUGGGGACAAAGCGCUUGAGCCUGAUGGUUUUCCUAUGGCUUUUUGGCAAUUUUCUUAGGAUUUUGUGAAGAAGAAGAUCAUGGAUUUUUUGUAGGGAGUUUCAUAACCAUGGUCGGUUUGUUAAAAGUCUAAAUGCAACGUCCUUUGUUUUGAUCCUAAAAAAAAAAAAAAAAAAACAGAAGACUUAAGGGACUUCAGGCCUAUUAGUUUGGUGGGAGGGUUGUAUAAGUGACUGGUUAAAGCUAGUGGUGGGUAAGGUGGUCUCUAAGGCUCAAAAUGCUUUUGUGGAAGGAAGACAAAUUUUGAAUGUUGUCUUUGUUGUUAAUGAAGUUAUAGACUCGAUAUUGAAGAGCAAUGAAGGGGCGGUGAUGUGUAAGUUGGAUAUAGAAAAUGCGUAUGAUCAUGUGGACUGGUCCAUCUUGUUUUCAGUCAUGAGUAUGAUGGGUUUUGGGGAGAAAUGGAUCCGGUGGAUGCAGUGGUGUAUUUCCACAGCCAACUUUUAUGUUCUGGUUAAUGGGUCUUCUUCAGGUUUCUUCCAAAGUUCUAGGAGUUUAAGGUAGAGGGAUCGCCUCUCUUCGUACCUAUUUGUGAUGAUUAUGGAGGUUCUUAGUUGUCUCUUAAGGUGUGCAGUAAAUGAGGGUUUUUUGUUAGCCUUUAAGGUGAGGAGUAGAGGAAGUGAGGGGGUUCAGGUGUCUCAUUUACUUUUCGCUGAUGAUACUUUGGUUUUCUGUGGAGCUUCUAAGGAUCAAUUGUUGUAUUUAAGUUGGAUUUUAAUGUGGUUUGAGGCCAUGUCGAGGUUGAGAAUUAAUCUGGAUAAAAGUGAGUUAAUAUCAAUGGGUGGUGUGGAAAACACGGAGGCUUUGGCCACAAAUCUUGGGUGUAAGGUUGGAAGUCUUCCGUCCACUUAUUUGGGAUUGCCAUUAGGUACGCCUCAUAGAUCUGUGGCUGUUUAGGAUGGAGUGGAGGAUGCAGAAGAAAUUGGCUAGAUGGAAGAGCUAAUACAUUUCCAAAGGAGGAAGGAUGACCUUGAUUCGGAGCACUUUGGCGAGUAUGCCCAUUUACUUCAUGUUUGUGCUUUUUAUGCUUAGAAAGGUCAGAUUGAGGAUACAGCAGAUUCAGAGGGAUUUUUUGUGGGGAGGUGAGACCCUUGAGUAGAAACCUCAACUUGUUCGGUGGGGUUUGGUUUGCCUAGAUAAGAGCAAAGAGGGGUUGGAGGUAAAAUACCUUUCUACCCUCAAUAAGGCACUUUUGUGUAAAUGGAGCUGGAGAUUUGAAAAAGAGAGAGAGGCCUUUUGGAAUCAAGUGAUCAGGGGAAAGUAUGGGGAGGAGCAAGGGAGUUGGUGUUCUAAGUGAAGAGUGGAUAUGGUGUGGGGUUAUGGAAAACAUUUAGGAAAGAGUGGAGUGUUGUAAGUAGUAGACUCUAUUUUGUAGUGGGAAAUGGGUAAAAGGUGAAAUUCUGGAAAGAUAGAUGGUGUGAGGAUGAACCUCUUUGUGUUUCUUUUCCCUCUUUAUUUGAUUUAAUUGUCUUCAAGGAUGCUUGGGUAAAAGAUGUGUGGUGUUCCAAUGAGGGUGGGGGGAGUUGGAGCCCACACUUCUCCAAACCGUUUAAAGAUUAGGAGAUGGAUGAGGUGUGCAGAUUCUUUUUGGGCCUUAAUGGGAAGAGAGUUCGACAGGCAGUGGAAGAUAGGGUGAUUUGGAGAGAGACUAAAUGUGGGAAUUUUUCUGUUAAGUCUCUCUACAAAUCAUUAGUUUCAGGCCUUCCAGCCUUUUUCCCUUCGUUGGCCAUUUGGAAAGUUUAUGUGCAAUCUAGAGUGAGUUUUUUUUUGGGUAGGAAGCAAUGUGGGGAAAGGCUCUUACCUUGGAUCAACUUCAAAAGAGAGGAUGACCUUUAGCUAACAGAUGUUAUCUUUGUCAAAGGCACGAAGAAUCAAUAGAUCACAUUUUUCUCCACUGUGCCAAGGCAAAGACUCUUUGGGCGUUGCUUUGCUCUCUUUUUAGGGUGCAGUGGGCGCUGUCGGCAAGAAACAAAGUUGUCUUUGAGGAAGAAGAGUUGUCAAUCCAAAGACUUAAGAAUUCUUUUAUAUAUUUCCUUUGGUUAGAGACGAAACUAUUUAUAAAAGAUGGUCCUUGGACUUUAGUUGAUUUUAUUGAUUGGGUGGGAACCUAUUGAGGGUGGGGUUCGGGCUGCACCUCCGUCCUUAGCAUCCAACUAAGGAGUGGGUUCUUCUUUGUAAUCUUUAAGUCGUUGCUUUGACAAUUUUUUAAUACAAUUUUAUCAUUUACUUAUAAAUAAAAAAAAAAUUAAUCUCAAUAGCUCUCUUUGCAUAACUUCUUGUAGACUUGUGGAUUCCAUAGUUGUUUGUGGUUGUUGCCUUUUUUUCUCAAGUACUAAAUUUGUACACCACCACACCCCCCCCACAAAAAAAAAAAAAAAAAAAAAAAAUAGUGCACUAAGGGGCUUGAAUUUGAAAGAGAGGACACUCAAGGUCCAAUUUUAAUAAAUCUUACUUUAUAUAUUUUGUAUAAUAAUUACAUACAAAAUAAAUAUACUUAUAAAUAUAAUUAUAAAUAGUUUUAAAAAUAAUUAUACAUAUCAUCAUUAUCAUUUUUUUUUAUAUCCUUAAACUUAUCCAAACUAAGAAUUAAAUGUGUGUUUUCAAAUUCCUUAAAUUAUUAUCAAAUGUCACAUAUUUUAUAAGUUAAUAUACAUUAUUUUCUUCACUAAGCUAGCUUCAAUAUGUGCAUUAGUAGUUGUUUUAUCAUUUUCUGUAAGUUUCAAUAUUUUUUAGUUUGAUCAAUUUUCGUUUUACUGAUCUUUUUUUAUUUGAAUUUGGGUCCCUUGUUUCCAAUAUUUCUCUUUGUUUCCCUAAAUCCAAGUAUUCAUAUUUUCAUAAAUUCUCAUAUUCAAAAUGGGAUAAAUUAAUGGGAUGAAUUAGAUAAUAACAGCAUUAGUCAAGUCAUCCCUGGAAGUUUUAUUGAAAGAGAAUUUUGAAACAUAAAGUCGUGAAGUAGAAACCACGCUUGGCACUCUAAUGAAACAUAAAAUUAUUCAGUAGCAACUACAUUUUAAUAGUAGAAUCAAACAUACAAAAGUUCAUUUAUUCGGACACUGGACUUAGCUUAUCAACCCCUUAACCGAAGAAAAGGGACAUGCUCUCCAAUGAAAUAAAAGAGCAGUUCUCGGUAAUAGGAGUUCAAGUAGAGAAAAGCAACGAUGCAUAAGAAUGCCACUCCGUAUGAUCCUCCAAAACUCCAUAAGAAUAUGGCUUCCCAAGAGCUAUUUUCUCUGUUGUCUGAAACUGGUGGUUUGACUGCAGGUGGGGCACUAGUGGGAGUGCAACUUUGAUCUAAUGGCAGCCCACAUAGAAGAGGGUUGCCCUCGUAACUGCUUUGUUCAAAUGUUGCAAACUGAAACUUCCUCUCUGGAGUCUUACCUGAUAAAUUGUUGUGAGCGACAGUGAAAAUCGUCAAGAAGUUUAACUCUAUUACCAUCUGUGGUGGAAUUUGACCUGUCAAUCUAUUGUGGGAUAGGUCCAAGCUUUCUAUUUCCUUUAGGUUGGAAAAUGUAUGUGGAAUAGAUCCUGUCAACUGGUUGUACGAUAAGUUUAGAGUAUGAAUCCCACUUAGAUUUCCAAUUUCUGGAGGAAUUGGACCUGCCAAUUUGUUCCCUGAAAGAUCCAAUCCAGACAUGA
rnacentral:lncRNA from 1 species